rnacentral:lncRNA from 1 species
UUGGCCCACAUGUCCAGAUUCGUUAUACAGUAGUAGGUAGACUACGGAUGGUGACAGUAGUUGGUAGAUGCCGGUAGGUGACAUUGUAUCUUAGCCACCUACCAUGAUGGUAUGUGGGAUAGGGAAAGUAUAUAAGGAGGAUGUCACAUUGUGUAUCUUCACCUCACAACUUGUAAAGCAUUUGAGUAGCAAUACAAGCC